rnacentral:lncRNA from 1 species
CCAGACUAUUGUCAUAAACAAGUACCUAGUCACCUUCCUCAAUUGCUUUUGGUUUCAAUCGAUGUUGCUUAUCGAUCGCACCUUGUUUUGUAACCUUGUUCUUUUUAACCUUUCCAAUGCUAUCUGCACAUCUUUCGUUCUUUGCUCCAAUUGUCAAAUCCUAAUAGCCAGAAAUUCUUCUCUUGUCAAUCCAUCUUCCCAUGGUAGCAUACUCCAAGUAAGUA